GACGAACGCUGGCGGCAUGCCUAACACAUGCAAGUCGAACGAUACCUUCGGGUCUAGUUUCGCAGGGGGGCGUAACGCCGGGGAACCUGCACUUAGGUUCGGAGUAACUCCCCGUAAGGUAUGCUAAUGCCGGAGAAUGUCUUCCUAGCAAUGAUUUAUCGCCUUUGGGUGGGCCGGCGUUGGAUUAGCUAGUUGGUAGGGUAAAAGCCUAGCAAGGCGACGAUCCAUAGCUGGUCUGAGAGGAUGAUCAGCCACACUGGGACUGAGACACGGCCCAGACUCCUACGGGAGGCAGCAGUGGGGAAUAUUGGACAAUGGGCGAAAGCCUGAUCCAGCAAUGCCGCGUGAGUGAUGAAGGCCUUAGGGUUGUAAAGCUCUUUUACCCGUGAUGAUAAUGACAGUACCGGGAGAAUAAGCUCCGGCUAACUCCGUG
rnacentral:rRNA from 1 species